CUUUGGUUACCUCAUCUAUAAAACAGAGAUACUAAUAUAUUAAUAAUUUACCGGGUUGCAUGUAAAGUGUCUGGCACAUAAUAGUGCUCAAUAAAUGUUAAUUAUUGUUACAUCAUCUUCCUAACUUUUGCUAGUUUCAUCAUCUACCCAUAUGGAUUACUUGGAGCAUCCAUAGAUAUUAUUCAUAUUGGCUGGAAAUGGCAUUGAGUACUAUAUAUUUGUGUUGGCCUUCAUAGUUUUUAAGACUAUAGUCAUGUACAACAUAACGAUGAUUUGGUCAACAAUGGACUCAUAUAUGACAGUGGUCCUAUAAAAUUAUACCAUAUUUUUACUGUACCUUUUUUGUAUUUAGAUACACAAAUACCAUUGUGUUACAGUUGCCUACAGUAUUCAGUAACAUGCUGUACAGGUUUGUAGCUUAGGAGCAAUAGGCUGUGCCAUACACCCUAGGUGUGUAGUAGGCUACACUACACCAUCUAGGUUUGUGUAGUACACUCUGAUGUUCCUACAAUGAUGAAAUCGCCUAAUGCAUUUCCCAAAACAUACACCAAUAGUUAAGCAAUGCAUGACUGUACUUUUGCAUACCUUAUCUCAUUUAAGCCUCAUAAAAGUCUUCUAAAGUAAACCAGUUCCAUCCCGGGGGUAGGAGGGAGUACACUCUUUUGACCUACAGUGGCCAUUUCUCAUGUUCCACAUAAUUUUUUCCCUUGAUUCACUGUAUCUGAAUCCUCCUUUUGUCUCUGCUGCAGUUGCUUACCCUUUUUGAAAUUCCAUUUUCUUCUCUUUUGCGAUACUCUUAUUUCCUGGUUCUUCCCCUACAUCUAUGCCAUUCUUCUGUUUAUUUCACAGUCUCCUUCCACUUCUGUCCUUAAAAUACUAAUAUUCAGGCCAGGCACAGUGGCUUAUGCCUGGAAACCCAACACUGGAGGCUGAGGUGAGAUGAUUGCUUGAGGCUAGGAGUUCAGGAUUAGCUUGGGCACAUAGGAAGACCCCAUCUCUACAGAAAUUUGUUGGGCACGAUAGCUUGUGCAUGUAGUCCCAGCUAUUCAGGAGGCUGAGGUGGGAGGAUCACUUGAGCCUAAGAGUCUGAGUCUGCAGUCAACUGGGAUAGCACCACUGCACUGCAGCCUGGGUGACAGAGCAAGACCCUAUCUCAAUCGGUCAAUCAAUCUCAGACCCAUCUGCUACACAACUAAUGUGUCUUUCCCUUUAAACUCUUCGGUACUUCCUGAUAUAGUCCAAACUCUUUGACAUAACGUUUUAGUCUCAAUCUGGCUUCAGCCUUCCUCUCUUUACAUUCCCUGUCUCCUACUUUGCUGUUCAGCAACAUCAAACCCUGUGUGCUUUUCCAUAGACUGUACUAUUUCUACUAUAUCUGGAAUUUCACCCCCAUUCACCUACUCACCCAAACAAAACAACUGGUCAAUUUUUACUCAUCCUUCACCUCAGUUGUCACCACUCUCAGGGAGCUCCCUUAAAUAAGAUAUGCCUCCUUGGUGUUAUCAUAAUACCCUCUGCAUAUUUUUACCUUGUGGUAUUUUAAUUAUCUGUUUAUAUAUCUAAUUCUUCCACCAUGCUCUGAAUUUUUUGAGUAUAUGGUAUAUACUUAGUACGAUGCUUGCUAUAUAACAGGAACACAGUGAAUAUUUGAAUGAAUGAAUAAUCUUGGCUACCAAUUUGCUGUGUUUCCUUGUCCCUUUCUGCAUAUGUGGCUUUGUCUUUUAAGUUCUUUAUAAAAGAUGAAUUGAGAUAAAUUGCUAAAGCUCCUUCUAAUUCUGAAAUAACUUAAUUCUUUUUUUUUUUUCUUCGAGACGGAGUCUCGCUCUGUCGCCCAGACUGGAGUGCAGUGGCGCAAUCUCGGCUCACUGCAACCUCCGCCUCCCGGCUUCAAGCGAUUCUCCUGCCUCAGCCUCCCGAAUUGCUGGGACUACAGACUCGUGCCACCACGCCCGGCUAAUUUUUGUAUUUUUAGUAGAGACGGGAUUUCACCGUGUUAGCCAGGAAGGUCUCCAUCUCCUGACCUCGUGAUCUGCCCACCUCAGCCGGCGUGAGCUACUGCGCCUGGCCUGAAAUAACUUAAUUCUUUUAAUAAUUUAUCUGGUUAUUCACAUUUCUGAAAAUCACUUACUUAAGUCAAAUAUGAAUAAAACAAUGACUAAAUGUAUUUUGUCAGAAAAUAAUAGUUUAUGAAAUAAUAGAUUAGCUAUCACUUUCUGCAAAUAAUGGGUUUCUAAUGUUUGUUGACUUAAAUUCAUAUAUUGAAUUAAAUUUACUAGUGAAAUAUCAGAUCAUUUAAUAGUCAUUUGUGAUAUCUUAGGGUAAUAAAAUUUUAAAAUAUGUAUAUGUUUUUGAUUGAACAGACACAACAUGACAAUCUAAUGAUUAAGAAGAUAUGGGUCCUACAUUUUGGGUCUUUCCAGUAUUGUCAACAGUGUAGGAGUUUUCGAUGGGAAAUAGCCAUAGUCAUCAAAAAUCCAUUUAUUUAGUUUUAAAAUAUACUAAAAUAUUUUCAUUGUAAUGUGGAGUACAUCUGCCUCUUAAGUUUGUGUAUAUUAAUAAUUGUAUCCUCAGUGCUUUGCACAUGAAAGGCAUUCAGUAAAUGUUUGUUAAAUAAAUGAAUAAAUACAGUAAGGCUACUCAGUGAGGCCUGCUUUCCAGAUUCUGUUCUGACGCCCUCUUUUCAACUCUUCAGUUCAUCACUAUUUGCUAUGAGCCUCUUCAAGACAAGCAUCUUGACCUAGCAUCAACCUAAACAGAUUUGUCUGCCCUUCCUCCCUCCCUUCCUUCCUUCCUUCAUUUUUCCUUUCUUAAACUAGAAUGUAAGUGUAGGUGAAUAAAGUUUUCCCAUACAAGUCAUUUCCUCAGCUAAGGUAGGAAAAGUGAGAGACAAUUCAGGUAGUUGGGUAAAAGUUCUUCAAAUUGUAGAUCUUAAGCUUCAGAUAGCUUUAUUGGGAAGUAGGCUUUAUGCAGAAUAAAUCAUUAAAGAAAUUGAGAAGAUAGAAGAGCAAAUUUGAAUGAAGUUGAUAAUUCAUGAUAGUAUUAUUACAAAUAUAAAGCUGAG
rnacentral:lncRNA from 1 species